UGGGUUCCUCUGUUGAAUUAAGUUCUUGAGAACUAGCAAGGGAUACAGCUCUGCAUAUGACAUAGGAAUCAGGUCAAAAGAGACCUUCUUCCUUUCAAAGUUCUGCUGAUGAUGAUUUUUAUUGGUAUUUUUGUUGUUGUAGGUGUUUGUUUUUUUGUUGCAGUUGUUGUUAUUGACGUUGAUGUUGUUAUUGUUUUUGUUGAAUUGGUGUUGCUUAUUGAUUAGAAAAUACCGGAAUUACUGAUGACACUUGAUGAUGAUGAUGUUGACGGGGUGGUGGGUUC
rnacentral:lncRNA from 1 species